rnacentral:pre_miRNA from 1 species
UGUCGCCUGAAUGUGCCAUGAUUCCACAAAGAGCCGCUUGUGAAAACUUUUCACAAGCGGCUCUUUGUGGAAUCAUGGCACAUUCAGGCGACA